AUGAACGCUGGCGGCGUGCUUAACACAUGCAAGUCGAACGGAAAGGCCCAAGCUUGCUUGGGUACUCGAGUGGCGAGCGGGUGAGUAACACGUGGGUGAUCUGCCCUGCACUUCGGGAUAAGCCUGGGAAACUGGGUCUAAUACCGGAUAGGACCACAUUUUGGAUGGUGUGGUGGAAAGUUUUUCGGUGUGGGAUGAGCUCGCGGCCUAUCAGCUUGUUGGUGGGGUAAUGGCCUACCAAGGCGUCGACGGGUAGCCGGCCUGAGAGGGUGUACGGCCACAUUGGGACUGAGAUACGGCCCAGACUCCUACGGGAGGCAGCAGUGGGGAAUAUUGCACAAUGGGCGCAAGCCUGAUGCAGCGACGCCGCGUGGGGGAUGACGGCCUUCGGGUUGUAAACUCCUUUCGCUAGGGACGAAGCGCAAGUGACGGUACCUGGAGAAGAAGCACCGGCUAACUACGUG
rnacentral:rRNA from 1 species